rnacentral:rRNA from 1 species
GUCUAUGGCCAUACCACCCUGAACGCACCCAAUCUCGUCUGAUCUCAGAAGCUAAGCAUGGUCAGGCCUGGUUAAUACUUGGAUGGGAGACUGCUUGGGAAUAAUCGGUGCUGUAGGUU